rnacentral:rRNA from 1 species
ACCUCGAUGUCGGCUCUUCACAUCCUGGGGCUGAAGUAGGUCCCAAGGGUAUGGCUGUUCGCCAUUUAUUGUGGUACGCGAGCUGGGUUCAGAACGUCGUGAGACAGUUCGGUCCCUAUCUGCCGUUGGCGUUAGAGAUUUGAGAAGAGUUGCUCCUAGUACGAGAGGACCGGAGUGAACGUACCACUGGCGUUCCGGUUGUUUCGCCAGUAGCAUUGCCGGGUAGCUACGUUUGGACG